rnacentral:rRNA from 1 species
UACAGAGGGGGCAAGCGUUGUUCGGAAUUACUGGGCGUAAAGCGCGCGUAGGCGGCUUUGCAAGUCGGGUGUGAAAUCCCCAGGCUUAACCUGGGAACUGCAUUCGAGACUGCAUUGCUAGAGUAUGGGAGAGGGAAGUGGAAUUCCAGGUGUAGCGGUGAAAUGCGUAGAUAUCUGGAGGAACACCGGUGGCGAAGGCGACAUCCUGGACCGGUAUUGACGCUGAGGCGCGAAAGCCAGGGGAGCAAACGGG